CCAUUCUUUUCCAAUCUAGUCACGUGUGUAAGAUGAGAAAGAAUUCAUAAUCCGCCUUUGAACGUGAACUUCUGGAGAAUGACAAACAAUGAAGAGAAAUAAUGAUAAAGAUCAACGUCAAGCUGGAAUGGAGCAAGCAGAAGGGAAAGAAGUCAGCAUGGCUUGGUGUAAGGAAAUGUGUAAUUCCUCCCCACUCUGAAUUUUUCGUUAUUCCUGCCCCUUCUCAGCGUGGAGCAUCGGCUGCCCUGGUUAGCUGUGAUCAUCCCAGGAAAGGAUUGUCGUAGGAAAAUGAACUGGGAAAAGACAACUGACUCCAAGCGUCUCAGGGCAAAGAAAUAACUUGGGGGGUGACUGCAUUCACAUCACUCGACACACACACCCCCUAAGAGAAGACUCCCCGUGCUUCAGGAAGCGGGAAAGGCAGACAAAAGGGAAAAGGACUCUUUAGAACCUUUAAGCAACUGAUGGGCAUCAUGGCUUUUCAGAAAUGGGAUUCAGAGCAUGGCAUUUCCCAGAUUCCUGCUAUUAUGGAAGCUGAUUUCCUGUGAUGAAAAAAAUGUCAUUUCAGCGGAGCUCUGAGAACUUUUGGAAUGUGUGCACCAGGUCUGAAAAUGCAGAGUGGACUAUGACACAGAAAGAAAGACAUGUGUACAUGCUUUUGCAGGAGCAAGGAGUGGAUGAAAUUAGUUUCCUCUAGCAAUACCUCAUGAUUGAAAUAUCCAAAGAUCUCAAGGAAAAUUUAAAAAAUCAGAACAGUUGAAGAAAUAGAUGAUGGGAAGAAACUAUUUCUUUCCCCAGCUCCCCUGUCCCUCAGGCAGGGCUUUUGCACCAGCUCCCAGAGUUUCCCUAUUGGAAGAUGAUUUAAUAACACUCCUCCCUGUGUCAAUGUAUUUCACUGUAAUCUCUCACCACCUAAACUAAUUGCUUGCACUUGAACCUUUGUCCCAGCACCAGCUGCCAGAGAGACUCAGAGUAAAACACAUGUAUUCUGGGCACUGAAAUGUUGGUACGAACAAGCAUGUAAGGGCCAUGCUGCCCAGGGUCUCUUGUCUGACAACAGCUGACAUAGUUCCACAUCAUCUUCACAAAUAACAGUAACCUGGCUUUCUGAGCAUAAGCUGAUCUAGAUACUAGAAUUUAGCUUGAGCAUAAACACAUGGACAAGAAUAUGAUUUUGUGAAGCAGGGAGGUCAAAAUGAGAAUUUCUUUUCACUAAGGAGUUGGUGAGAAGAGCCAUGAGGCUGAGUGAGCCACCUUUGCACCUGCCACGAGAAUGUGUGGAUUACUAUGCCUCUUGUUUUAUGCUGUGCUGCCUUCCUCUUCGGAGUGUCUCACAUGUUCUUACCCUGCUCUGGGGUUUUUCAUUCCU